CCUACGGGAGGCAGCAGUGAGGAAUAUUGGUCAAUGGACGAGAGUCUGAACCAGCCAAGUAGCGUGAAGGAUGACUGCCCUAUGGGUUGUAAACUUCUUUUAUAUGGGAAUAAAAUGUUCCACGUGUGGGAUUUUGUAUGUACCAUAUGAAUAAGGAUCGGCUAACUCCGUGCCAGCAGCCGCGGUAAUACGGAGGAUCCAAGCGUUAUCCGGAUUUAUUGGGUUUAAAGGGAGCGUAGGUGGAUUGUUAAGUCAGUUGUGAAAGUUUGCGGCUCAACCGUAAAAUUGCAGUUGAAACUGGCAGUCUUGAGUACAGUAGAGGUGGGCGGAAUGCGUGGUGUAGCGGUGAAAUGCUUAGAGAUCACGAAGAACUCCGAUUGCGAAGGCAGCUCACUGGACUGCAACUGACACUGAGGCUCGAAAGUGUGGGGAGCAAACAGGAUUAGAUACCCUAGUAGUC
rnacentral:rRNA from 1 species